rnacentral:rRNA from 1 species
CAGCAGCCGCGGGAAUACGAAGGGUGCAAGCGUUAAUCGGAAUUACUGGGCGUAAAGCGUGCGUAGGCGGUGAGUUAAGUCAGAUGUGAAAUCCCCGAGCUUAACUUGGGAACUGCAUUUGAAACUAGCAAGCUAGAGUCUUGUAGAGGGGGGUAGAACUCCAGGUGUAGCGGUGAAAUGCGUAGAGAUCUGGAGGAAUACCGGUGGCGAAGGCGGCCCCCUGGACAAAGACUGACACUCAGGUGCGAAAGCGUGGGGAGCAAACAGGAUUAGAUACCCGCGUAGUCCCUGUCUCUUAUAC